rnacentral:rRNA from 1 species
AUGGGAACGCGAAGAACCUUACCUACUCUUGACAUCCAGAGAACUUUCCAGAGAUGGAUUGGUGCCUUCGGGAACUCUGAGACAGGUGCUGCAUGGCUGUCGUCAGCUCGUGUUGUGAAAUGUUGGGUUAAGUCCCGCAACGAGCGCAACCCUUAUCCUUUGUUGCCAGCGGUUCGGCCGGGAACUCAAAGGAGACUGCCAGUGAUAAACUGGAGGAAGGUGGGGAUGACGUCAAGUCAUCAUGGCCCUUACGAGUAGGGCUACACACGUGCUACAAUGGCGCAUACAAAGAGAAGCGACCUCGCGAGAGCAAGCGGACCUCAUAAAGUGCGUCGUAGUCCGGAUUGGAGUCUGCAACUCGACUCCAUGAAGUCGGAAUCGCUAGUAAUCGUAGAUCAGAAUGCUACGGUGAAUACGUUCCCGGGUCUUGUACACACCGAGUCGU